UAGUUUCAAGCCUAGCAUACCCCUCUGA
rnacentral:piRNA from 1 species